rnacentral:piRNA from 1 species
UGCUGAAGCCCAUCUGCUUGGUUCCUCCUU